rnacentral:rRNA from 1 species
AGUCCGAUAGCAAACAAGUACCGUGAGGGAAAAUUGAAAAGAACUUUGAAGAGAGAGUUCAAGAGUACGUGAAACCGUCUAGCGGUAAAGAGAGGGGUUCUCGAAGUUUCUGAGGGGGACUCAACCUUGGUGGUGCUUGGCCUGGGCGUAUUUGAUCAGCAAUGACUUUGCGUUUAGUCCCAUGUGCCUCCCGGACGCACUUUCUCCUCAGUUUACGGCAGGAACCGUUAGAUGUGGACUGAAGGCCCAGGGUGAAGUUGUUGGUUAUGCUGGCAGCCCUUGGUGUCCUAGCUUCGCGUCUGACGGGUAUGUAAGCGAACUCGUAUAGCGAGCAAUUCUCUAUUGCGGUUCGCAUUUCUCUGCCGAGUAGGUCGGUGGCCCCUCUCACCCGUCUUGAAACACGGAC